CAGUAGCCGCGGUAAUACGAACCGUGCGAACGUUAUUCGGAAUUACUGGGCUUAAAGCGCGUGUAGGCGGGCCGCCACGUCGGUUGCUGAAAUCCCCCGGCUCAACCGGGGAAGUGGCAUCGAUACGAGCGGCCUUGAGGGGGGUAGGGGGAUCUGGAACUUCCGGUGGAGCGGUGAAAUGCGUUGAGAUCGGAAGGAACGCCCGUGGCGAAAGCGAGGUCCUGGACCCUUUCUGACGCUGAGACGCGAAAGCCAGGGGAGCGAACGGGAUUAGAGACCCCUGUAGUCCCUGUCUCUUAUA
rnacentral:rRNA from 1 species